rnacentral:rRNA from 1 species
GGACACUGCUAUCGGUGUUCGAUUAAGCCAUGCGAGUCGUGAGGUAACUCGGCGGAGUGCUCAGUAACACGUGGACAACCUACCCAAGAGUCAGGGAUAACCCCGGGAAACUGGGGAUAAUACCUGAUAGGCCAUGACAUCUGGAAUCAGUUGUGGUUUAAACGUAAGGCUCUUGGAUGGGUCUGCGGCGGAUUAGGUUGUUGCCGGUGUAACGUACCAGCAAGCCUGUAAUCCGUACGGGUUGUGGGAGCAAGAGCCCGGAGAUGGAUUCUGAGACACGAAUCCAGGCCCUACGGGGCGCAGCAGGCGCGAAAACUCUACAAUGCAGGCAACUGCGAUAGGGGAACAUCGAGUGGCAUCCACCAUGGAUGUCUGUCCAAUCGUCUAAAAAACGAUGUCAGCAAGGGCCGGGCAAGACCGGUGCCAGCCGCCGCGGUAAUACCGGCGGCUCGAGUGGUGGCCGAUAUUAUUGAGUCUAAAGGGUCCGUAGCCGGCUUUGCAAGUCCUAUGGGAAAUCCAGCGGCUUAACCGUUGGGCUUUCAUGGGA